rnacentral:rRNA from 1 species
AUGUCCAGCCCAUUGUGUGCGACAAUGGCACCGGAAUGGUCAAGGUCAGUUACCCUGUCAUGGUGUCAAUCCCAAAUUCAGUUAGCAUGUUGUUUGCCUGUUGUUACAUUUCAGCGCGAACUGAUCAUCCAUCCAUCCAUUCGUGCCAAACUGCAGGCGGGGUUCGCCGGCGACGACGCGCCGAGGGCCGUGUUCCCCAGCAUCGUGGGCAGGCCGCGGCACACGGGGGUGAUGGUGGGGAUGGGCCAGAAGGACGCGUACGUGGGCGACGAGGCGCAGUCCAAGCGAGGCAUCCUGACGCUCAAGUACCCGAUCGAGCACGGCGUGGUGGGCAACUGGGACGACAUGGAGAAGAUCUGGCACCACACCUUCUACAACGAGCUCCGGGUGGCGCCGGAGGAGCACCCGGUGCUGCUCACGGAGGCGCCCAUGAACCCCAAGGCCAACCGGGAGAAGAUGACUCAGAUCAUGUUCGAGACCUUCAACUGCCCCGCCAUGUACGUGGCCAUCCAGGCCGUGCUCUCCCUCUACGCCAGCGGCCGGACCACCGGCAUCGUCAUGGACUCGGGCGACGGCGUCAGCCACACCGUCCCCAUCUACGAGGGCUUCACGCUCCCGCACGCCAUCAUCCGGCUCGACCUCGCCGGCCGCGACCUCACCGACGGCCUCAUGAAGAUCAUGACGGAGAGGGGCUACUCCUUCACCACCACCGCCGAGCGGGAAAUCGUCAGGGACAUCAAGGAGAAGCUCGCCUACGUCGCCCUCGACUACGAGCAGGAGCUGGAGACGGCCAGGACCAGCUCCGCCGUCGAGAAGAACUACGAGCUGCCGGACGGCCAGGUGAUCACCAUCGGGGCGGAGCGGUUCAGGUGCCCCGAGGUGCUCUUCCAGCCGUCCAUGAUCGGCAUGGAGGCCGCCGGCAUCCACGAGGCCACGUACAACUCCAUCAUGAAGUGCGAUGUCGAUAUCAGGAAGGAUCUGUACGGCAAUGUUGUGCUCAGUGGGGGUUCCACCAUGUUCCCUGGGAUCGCCGACCGCAUGAACAAGGAGAUCACCGCGCUCGCGCCCAGCAGCAUGAGGGUGAAGGUCGUCGCCCCGCCGGAGAGGAAGUACAGUGUCUGGAUCGGCGGCUCCAUUCUUGCCUCUCUCAGUACCUUCCAGCAGAUGUGGAUCUCCAAGGCGGAGUACGAUGAAGCUGGCCCGUCGAUCGUCCACAUGAAGUGCUUCUGA